AAUCAACGCUGGCGGCGUGCCUCAGACAUGCAAGUCGAACGCGAAAGGUUCCUUCGGGGACCGGGUAGAGUGGCGCACGGGUGAGUAACACGUAGGUAAUUUGCCUUUGGGUGGGGAAUAACUCAGGGAAACUUGAGCUAAUACCGCAUAAUGCAGCGGCUCGACAUCGAGACAGUUGUUAAAGCGGGGGAUUCGCAAGAACCUCGCGCCUAAAGAGAAGCCUGCGGCAGAUAGCUAGUUGGUAAGGUAAUGGCUUACCAAGGCGACGAUCUGUAACCGGCCUGAGAGGGCGGUCGGUCACACUGACACUGACAUACGGGUCAGACUCCUACGGGAGGCAGCAGUCGGGAAUUUUGGGCAAUGGGCGAAAGCCUGACCCAGCAACGCCGCGUGAAGGAUGAAAUUUUACGG
rnacentral:rRNA from 1 species